UCUCUUGCCUGCCGCUAUGCAAGGCGUGACUUUGCUCCUCCUUUGCCUUCUGACAUGAUUGUGAGGCCUCCCCAGCCAUGUGGAACUGAAGAGGAAAUUUGGAUAUGUACAGAGGGAAGAUGAUGUGAAAAGGUACAGAGAAGAUGACCUUCUACAAGCCAAGGAGAGGCAUCAGAAGGAACCAAACCUGCACACACCUUGAUUUUGGACUUCCAGGCUCCAGAAUGGAUUAAAAAAACCCACGCUGCUGAUAUCCUUGUCAGCCUUUUCCUGAAUCAUUGCUGUGCAGCUCCAGGGAGCCACGGGCCGGUGCCUUCUGACCGGCAGACUCCGUCCAUGGGCCUUCCUGUCCUUGGGGUCCUGGAGCUCUCUGUCUGAGCCUCCUUGGCCACUGAAGCAACACCCAGAGGCCUGCAUCCUCUAAGAAAUGCCAGCCAGGGUUGCAGAUGGAGCCAAGAAUUGAAAAUCUGGCCGAGUCUUUCCAUCUCACAGAUGAGCAAGCUGAACCUCAGAGGGCUUAGUGAUGUGGUUGAGGCACAGCCACCAAGGAUCAAUGACUGAGCCUCAAAACCACCUCUUCUGAGAGUACUGCUUUCUUACCCGAGGAUGGCCCAUCAGGGUGAUCUGGAAGGCAGAAGACGGGAGUUUUUCUGUGAACUCACUGUGGUGGGGGUGGUCCUUGGAAAAGUACUGAGUACACAGAAGUGGCGACGGGCAAAUGGAGAUCCUGGAAAAGGAGGUUUUCUACCAAAAUAUCCUUGUGAACAUGAGGACAGCUUCCAAACUGAGAAAGAGUGGGCUCGAGAAAGCUCUAAUGCUUCUUUCCCUGACACGAAGUGCUUCGUGCAGUGUUUGGCAUCAACAUGUCGGAGCCGUGGCAACGUUCUCCGUGCAUCCCCGCUUGGGCGUCAUUUUAAAGGGCCCACCUUGUGUACGAGAUGCACUUUGAUUUACUGACUUGCUUACGGAGAAAGGAGUCGUGGAAAUGUACCUGGCUGUGAGACAUAUAUUCACAGACACGUGUACAUCUUUAUGCCCACACAGAAGGGUAACAGCAGCCUUGCUUCAGAGGCCACACCUUCCAGGAAACCCUUCAGCCUGCCGUGUCUUAGCUGAUCCCUCUGCCAUCCCCUUGCAGAAGGAGCUUGGAGUCUCUCAGCUCAGCUGGACUAGAUGAAUCUUCUCAGGGUCGUCUUCUCCCACCUCUGGCUCCCAGUUCCUUCCCCCAGUCUCUCCCUCCCUGCUCUGUGUGAUCAGGGAAGCUGCAAACCCAACCCUUACAUCAAAAGGGAACUUGAAAAAUACUUGGAGCAAAAACUGCUAACUGUGCAUCCUUGCUGUAUGCUGGCGCUGAUAUUAAAUCAGGAAAUGGCACUGAACAGCCGCUCCGAACACAGAAACAGGGGUUGUCAACACAGCAACCAAAAGCAAUCUCUAACGGGCAGAGGUGAAAGGGACCUGGCACAGGGCCAGGAGGGGGGCUGCAACCCAGGAAAGAAUUCCUGAGCUGAGUGUGUCUGUGCCACCUCUCCAGUGUCCAGAAUGAAGCCUGGAUCUCAGUCCCUGGCAUGGAAUGCACCUUGUCUCUCUCCAUGAGGGAUGAAAGAUAAUUAGAUAAUUAAGCAUGUUGCUUAAAUACCUUUGAAAUUCUCCUUUUUAUUUCCAUACAUGUUUACCGAGCACCCACUAUGUGCCUGACAGUCCAAUAAAAAAGAUGCCUUCCCAUGUGGAGAUGACCUUCUAGCCCUCAGGACAGAACUCUGACCCUUUGACAUGGCAUUCAAGGUCCUUCGAGUGUUGGCUCCUGCAGAAGCUUUCAUCUCUGUUUCCAGCCUCCCUGAAAUAGCUCCCCAAGGGCACGAGGCAGUACCUUUGCUCCAUGCCUUUGCUUGGACUAGUCCUACCACCAGCAAUUCCUGCAUUUCUGUGUUUGGCAAGUUUCUGCUCAGCCUCCAAAGCCUUAACCAAGUGUCACCUUUUCUCUGCAGCAUUUUCUGCCACCCUCCCCAUUUCUUCCAAUAGAACCAGGGAUCUUUUACUUGGGAUCCAGAAGCACUGUGGACAUAUUGCCAUCACAACACCUUUCAUGUCACAAUGGCAAGGUUUGCACUGUCUUGGAGGAGAGGAAGGAAGCCAUAUUCAUCCCUGAACCCUCAUCUCCCAGCACUGGUUGUAAAACUGAAACAAAAAUGGAAAACCUUGAUGAAAUUCAUUGUUGGUGUGGCUAUGGGGAAACAGAUUUUCCAUUUCUGAUAGUAAAUGAAAUAGGCACCAUCUUGUUAGAGGCUAAUUUGACAUUAUUAACACUGAAAAUGCACACAUCUUUCAACCCAGCAAUUUUAUUUCUUGCUUUCUAGAGGAAUGUUUGCCCAUGUGCAGAAAGGCGCAUGUAAAAAGCUGAGUUGCAGCAUUGUUUGCAAUAGUAAAAGAUUUGAAAUUGCUUAAAUGUCGGUCAAUAUGGCCUGGAUAAAAAACUAUAGGGCAUCCAUUGGAUAGAAUGCUAUGCAUUAGUUAAAAAGAAGUAGAUUUCCAUGUAUUGACCAAGCAUUUGCUGAGUAAAAAUCAAAAGCAAGCUGUAGCUCUAGACAUAGAUGUUAAAAUUACAUUGCUGCAUUUUUUCACAAUGAGAAUGUGAUCUUCUGUAAUUUGUUUUAAAAAGAGAUUGAAUGACCACAGCAGCUCCUGGCUGAAUGGAGACUGGGCUUUGACACAGCCAAUCAGCAUUAUUUCCUCCACCACUCCCACGCAGCAGGUCCCAGGGCAGUGGGAGGGUGCCAUCUACUUCCCCUGUACCUGAGAAGUUUGCUCUCCAUGUGGUGAUGAGCAUGUAGUGAGAAGCUGGAAUUCUGGGCCCUUGAAGAGCAUCCAGACAAAGGAGGAAGAAAGCGAAAGCAGGGAGGCCCAUGGGGUGGGAUAACUCAAAUCAUGCAGAUUUCUUGAGUUAGUCCUUGGCAUCAGGAGGAAGAAGGAAGGAUUGGUUCAGGAAUGACUGCUAACUCAGGGAGAGGAGGGGGCUGGAGGGUGUGCAGAAAAGGCCUGACAAUUCACAGACCUCACACUGUAAGGAAGAUCAGCCUUUGCCUAGUUAUUAAUUUCAUUUAUUCAUUCAUUUAUUCCACACUUGUAAUUGAGUUCCUCCUGGUAUGGGCAUUGCACUGACUACUGAGGACACAGAGACAACUCCACCUCCUGGAGACUUCCUCUGGAGCUCAUGAUCAAAUUCCAUCUAGUUUCUCAGAGUGUGUUUCUUGAACUCCAGGCAUCAGAAUUACCCAGAGAACUUAUUAAAAUGCAAAUUCUUGGGCUCUACUCAGACCUAUAAAAUCAGACUGUGGCUCACGAAUUUGUGUUUGUAACCCAUUUUCUCAAGUGUAAAACAUUUGGACUAGCUGACUAUAUCAUUUCCUUGAAUGUCCCUGUGUUAUUUCCUAAGGCUUCUCCCAAACCUGAGGUCUACCCUGAUCCAGGUUGAAGAAAGAUGGGAUGGAGGUACAAGCUUUGCCCUAUGACUCCAGUGUGUAGGAUUUCCCUAGAAUGACCAGGACCUUGUCCUUGCUAAUAGGCUUUUCACCCCACUCCCAUGCCUAGGUACACCCAAGUCCCUCCAAGGCCUGGGAAGAUCCAUAAAACAUGUCUUCUAAGUUCCUCAGAAACAAGAGAUUGACUCAUUGUAAGCAGGGGAAUGGCAUAUGCAAAGGUCCUGUGGCAGAACACAGCUUGGGCUGUGGAAGAACUUAAAUAAAUCAGUGUGCCUGGAGCAUUGUGAUGGGGGAUGCAGCAAGAUGAGGUGGGAGAGGGUAACA
rnacentral:lncRNA from 1 species